rnacentral:ncRNA from 1 species
CCAAAGGCUCUUUUCAGAGCCACCCACAGUUUCAUGAGAGAACUG